CCCACACCCAUGUGUGUAGGACUCCAAAGGAUCACAUUUAAAUUUGGCACAGAUCUCUAGAAAAGUUAUCAUAUGGGUGUGGAACUUGACUUUUCUAGAGAUCUGUGCCAAAUUUAUUGGUAAUCUUUUGGGGUCCUACACACAUGGAUGUGGA
rnacentral:pre_miRNA from 1 species